CCUACGGGGUGCAGCAGUGAGGAAUAUUGGUCAAUGGACGGAAGUCUGAACCAGCCAUGCCGCGUGCAGGAAGACGGCUCUAUGAGUUGUAAACUGCUUUUGUACAAGGGUAAACCUGAAUACAUGUAUUCAGCUGAAAGUACUGUACGAAUAAGGAUCGGCUAAUUCGUGCCAGGAGCCGCGGUAAUACGGGGGAACCAAGCGUUUACCGGAUUUUGUGGGUUUAAAGGGUUGGUAGGCGGAUUGAUAAGUUAGAGGUGAAAUGUCCGAGCUUACAUCGGGAACUGCCUCUAAUACUGUUGUUCUAGAGAGUAGAUGCGGUAGGCGGAAUGUAUGGUGUAGCGGUGAAAUGCUUAGAGAUCAUACAGAACACCGAUUGCGAAGGCAGCUUACCAAUCUAUAUCUGACGUUGAGGCACGAAAGCGUGGGGAGCAAACAGGAUUAGAUACCCUGGUAGUC
rnacentral:rRNA from 1 species